GCAUGUGGGGAAAGGAGCUGUUUUCUUUGCUAAAAAAACAUGCCCAACAUGCUGUCAUCGCUGUCACAGGUGCUGGUAUGGGAGAAGAUGCCUUUGGGUUUGAUCUCAUCAGCCAGAUUUUCAGCUGCAAAAAAGCAGCUUAAACAUCACUGACCACUCCUGAAAUUCAAGAUGCAGUUUUCCUAAGGUGUAAGCAAAUGGUAUCAGUUUUUUUGUUAGAAAAUAAUUAAUCUCUCUCUGGCUUGAGAUACCUAUCUCCUGUAGGAUAAAAGCACAGCUCUAAAGAGCAGGAGUGUUUCUAAUACAUGAUCUUCUGCUUUCUUGCCUUCCUUGUCCAGGGUGCCACGCAGCUGAUUUUACUUUGGGUUUAACCAGAUGCUUGUCCCUUUCCUUAGUCUUGUAGUUAUGCUCUGAGCAUCUCUGGGGAAUAAGAGGCUCCAAUUUGUUCCCCAAAAUAUUCCACCUGGUCCUGCACAUCUACAGGUGAGCCUGCUUUGGGCUGAUGCCUGAACUUCUCCCACCAAGACCAUCCAGGUCCAUCCAGGUCCAGCCCUGCCAGACGUGCAGCUUUGUCCAUCAGUGACUCCGAUGUGGACAUUAAGAGAGAUUCAAUGCUGAGAAAUGCAAGGCCCUGCUGGGUGAAGACUCAACCCACGAGUGUGACCAGAGAGUGGGGCUCAGUUGUGAACACAGAACAUCAGGCCAGCUUCACUCUGUUUUCCUGCUGAAGGCUGUGGGAGGCAGGGAUUAUUGGUGGAUUCAGAGGGUAGAGGGAGGCAGUGCUGAUGUCAUGCCGAUGGCAGCUGAGGAGAGGCAGAAGUUAUCCUUCUUAGUGCAGAGGAAGAUUGCAGUUGCAGUGUUUCCCUGGGCUGUACUGCAGGUGCUCUCAGUCCCUGUGUUGCCUGCAAGGCUCAGUCCUGGCAGCCCAAGCAGAUUUGCUCUGAGGGAUUCUCCAGUGGCCCCAGGCCCUGUGGGUGGGCUUUGGGCCCCUCAUCCCAGCCCUUUGGAAUCAGUUUGGAGAGGUGAUUUGCCGCU